ACGUAGGCAGCGAGCGUUGUUCGGAGUUACUGGGCGUAAAGCGUGCGUAGGCGGUGUCUUAAGUUUGUUGUGAAAUCUCCCGGCUUAACCGGGAGGGUGCGGCGAAUACUGAGAUGCUGGAGUGCCGGAGAGGUAAGCGGAAUUCCUGGUGUAGCGGUGAAAUGCGUAGAUAUCAGGAGGAACACCUGCGGUGUAGACGGCUUACUGGACGGUAACUGACGCUGAGGCACGAAAGCGUGGGUAGCAAACAGG
rnacentral:rRNA from 1 species